rnacentral:ncRNA from 1 species
GUGUUCGUAGAGAAGAGAGAUGAUUAGCACCUCCCCUGACAGGGACGGGAUCAUCAGCUUU